GACGGAGGGGGCUAGCGUUGUUCGGAAUGACUGGGCGUAAAGGGCGCGUAGGCGGUUUUUUAAGUGAGGCGUGAAAGCCCUGGGCUUAACCCAGGAGGUGCGUUUCAGACUGGAAGACUUGAGUGCGAGAGAGGAAAGUGGAAUUCCUAGUGUAGAGGUGAAAUUCGUAGAUAUUAGGAAGAACACCCGUGGCGAAGGCGGCUUUCUGGCUCGAAACUGACGCUGAGGCGCGAAAGCGUGGGGAGCAAGCAGG
rnacentral:rRNA from 1 species